rnacentral:rRNA from 1 species
UUUAAUUUGAAUUUAAAAAUUUAUAUAUUAUAUUUUAAAGAAAAUAUUUUUUUGUUUUAUUAUUAAUUUAGAAUAAAUAUUAAUUAAUUAUAGUAAAUUAGUAUAGUGAUAGAAAAUUAAAAUAUUUUGAAAUAAUAAAAUAUUUAAAAGAAAAAUUUAUUUUUUGUACCUUGUGUAUCAGGGUUUAUUAAAUAAAAGUUAUAUAUUUAAUUUUCUCGAUUUUAAAAGAGCUAAAAAAUUAUAUAUAUUAUUGUAGAAUAAAUAUUUAAAAUAAUUUUUUAGUAAUGAAACGUUAUUCGUUUUUAAAUAUAUCUAGUUUUUUAAGAAAUAAAUUUAAUUUAGUUAUUGAUUUAUAUUAAUGUUAAUUUUUUAAUUUAAUAUAAUUAAUAGUUAAUAUUUUAAGGGAUAAGCUUUAAAAUAAAAUUUUAAAAAUUAAUUUUAUAUGUAAAAUUUAUAGGAUUAGAAAUUUUUAUUAAUAAAGAGAAUGUUAUAAUAAAUUUUAUAUAAAAUAUAAUUUAUAUAUAAUUUUAAAUUAUAUAUUAAAAUUAUUAAUUUAAUUUAUAAAUUAAUGUAAUAAUGAUAGAAUUAGUAUAAUUUUUUGUAAAUAUAAUUUUGAAAAUUAAGGUUAAAUUAAGGAACUCGGCAAAUAUAUUUCUCGCCUGUUUAUUAAAAACAUGUCUUUUUGAUAAUAAUUUAAAGUCUGACCUGCCCAAUGAUUAUUGUUGAAUGGCUGCGGUAUUUUGACCGUACUAAGGUAGCAUAAUAAUUAGUUUUUUAAUUGAAAGCUGGUAUGAAUGGUUGGACGAGGGAAUUACUGUCUCAAUUUAAUUUAUAUUAGAAUUUUAUUUUUAAGUAAAAAAGCUUAAAUGAAUUUUAAAGACGAGAAGACCCUAUAGAGUUUUAUAUUUUAUUAUAAUUAUAAAUUUAAGGAAUUAGUUAUUUUAAUUAUGAUAAAAUAUUUUGUUGGGGUGACAAAAAAAUUUAAAGAACUUUUUUUAUAUAAAAUCAUUGAUUUAUGAAUAAGUGAUCCAUUUAUUAUGAUUAAAAGAUUAAAUUACCUUAGGGAUAACAGCGUAAUUUUUUUUGAGAGUUCAUAUCGAAAGAAAAGAUUGCGACCUCGAUGUUGGAUUAAAAUUAACUUUUGGUGUAGGAGCUAAAACGUUGGGUCUGUUCGACCUUUAAAAUUUUACAUGAUCUGAGUUUAAACCGGUGUGAGCCAGGUUGGUUUCUAUCUUAAAAAAUAUUAAAUAUUUUAGUACGAAAGGACCAAAUAUUUAUAUUAUAAAAUAUUGAUUUAUGAAUAAUAUUAAUUAUA